rnacentral:rRNA from 1 species
GAUCCUGGCUCAGAUUGAACGCUGGCGGCAGGCUUAACACAUGCAAGUCGAGCGGGGAAGGGUAGCUUGCUACCUGACCUAGCGGCGGACGGGUGAGUAAUGCUUAGGAAUCUGCCUAUUAGUGGGGGACAACAUUCCGAAAGGAAUGCUAAUACCGCAUACGCCCUACGGGGGAAAGCAGGGGAUCUUCGGACCUUGCGCUAAUAGAUGAGCCUAAGUCAGAUUAGCUAGUUGGUGGGGUAAAGGCCU